UCUACCAUCAGGUAAGUGUAAGAACUUCUUCAUCUUCUCCACCAAACCUCUUCAUCUCCUUUCUUCCCCCAACCUGAUCCUCAUCUCCUUUCUUCUCCCCAACGUGAUCUUUACCUCCUUCUACCAAAUGUAGGAUACGUUUUUCUUAAUCUUUGAAGGACACAAUUUGAUCCAUUCAAGAAGUUUUCUACAUAUAAUGUAGAUUUUCCUCGGAUCUAAUUCAAAGGUCUCGAUCUUUGCAAGUUCACUCAAAUAUCAUGUCACUUUAAUGUCUUCAUCAUCUUUGUAGCUCCGGUAAGCUUUUAUAGGAGCAGUAUCGCACUUCAGGGAGAGACAAAAAGGUCCAAUGUGUUACCCUAAAUAGAUUCCUAUGAUUUUUUCAAUGAGUUCUCUAGUGUUUCUACAACUUUUAAAAUGAUUAACACAAGUUACAAGAUCCUGAAUUUUGAGUUUCAGCUGAAGAAGGUGCACAUUAAUCCAAUUUAAUGGUUGUGGCAAUAGAGGUAAAGGUCAUGAGAAAAUGAAGAAGGCUAUGAGAAGCAAGAUGAAAAUAGAGAUCCCAACUGGUAAAGGAAGACCAACUAAACCAAAUCAAUCAGCAAAAUUAUCCAAUGAGUUGGGGAUAAUUGCUCAAAAUUUUAUUUUGCUUUCAAACAAGUGGAAGAAACUCUCAAGAGAGGACAAAGAUUGGGCACUAAUUAGAUGUCAUGCGCAGGUAACCAGGAUCAACACCUAGCGCCUCGUUCAUCUAGUUGAGCACUCAGAGUCUGUUGGUGAGUCUCCUUGCAUUCUGGAGGACAUUUUUUACUUUGAUUUUAGUAUUUCAAUGUUAGGA